rnacentral:rRNA from 1 species
UACGUAGGGGGCAAGCGUUGUCCGGAAUCAUUGGGCGUAAAGCGAGCGUAGGCGGCCCGAUAAGUCUGCUGUGAAAGUCAACGGCUCAACCGUUGAAAGCCGGUGGAUACUGUCGGGCUAGAGUUCGGAAGAGGCAAGUGGAAUUCCUGGUGUAGCGGUGGAAUGCGCAGAUAUCAGGAGGAACACCCAUAGCGAAGGCAGCUUGCUGGGACGAUACUGACGCUAAGGCUCGAAAGCGUGGGGAGCGAACAGGAUUAGAAACCCGCGUAGUCC